rnacentral:rRNA from 1 species
AAGGGGGAUGUUCAGAGUUGUACUAAUUACCGUGGAAUUAAGCUGAUGAGCCAUACAAUGAAGCUAUGGGAGAGGGUCAUUGAGCACCGCUUAAGAAGAAUGACAAGCGUGACCAAAAAUCAGUUUGGUUUCAUGCCUGGGAGGUCGACCAUGGAAGCCAUUUUCUUGGUACGACAACUUAUGGAGAGAUAUAGGGAGCAUAAGAAGGACUUGCAUAUGGUGUUCAUUGACUUGGAGAAGGCCUAUGAUAAGAUACCGCGUAAUUUCAUGUGGUGGGCCUUGGAGAAACACAAAGUCCCAGCAAAGUACAUUACCCUCAUCAAGGACAUGUACAAUAAUGUUGUGACAAGUGUUCGAACAAGUGAUGUCGACACCGAUGACUUCCCGAUUAAGAUAGGACUGCAUCAGGGGUCAGCUUUAAGCCCUUAUCUUUUUGCAUUGGUGAUGGAUGAGGUCACAAGGGGUAUACAAGGAGAUAUCCCAUGGUGUAUGCUCUUUGCGGAUGGUGUG